AUCCGGGACAACAAUGAAUAUGCUUAUAGGGAAGAGGUGAAGGCUCUCGUGGGCUGAUGCAAUAAAAGUAACAUUGUUCUAAAUGUUAAUAAAACAAAGGAGAUCAUUGUAGAUUUUAGAAAGAGCCGGCAUAGUCAUAUUCCACUCAGUAUCAAGAAUGCAGCUAUAGAGGUAGGCAACAGUAUUAAGUAUCUGAGGGUAUAGAUAACUAACAAUCUGAACUGGUCUCUCCUUGUGUCAUCUUAAGUAAAAUCUGCAAACCAGCGUCUGCAUUUCCUGGAUGAGUUCUCAUCAUAUUGAUUCUAUUAGAGAUGAUGAAGAGGAAGAUUUGCCAUUCACUGUGUCAGCGUUCCGAAUAAUGCAACCAUUGAAAGCAGUACUCCAAGGCAGCCACACCACUCCAAAUGGACUCUGGAUAGCGAACAAUUAAACAACAUAAUUAAAAUGAACAAUUAGUACAAUAAAAUUCUAUUAUGGCA